rnacentral:rRNA from 1 species
AUGAACGCUGGCGGCGUGCCUAAUACAUGCAAGUCGAGCGAACAGACGAGGAGCUUGCUCCUCUGACGUUAGCGGCGGAAGGGUGAGUAACACGUGGAUAACCUACCUAUAAGACUGGGAUAACUUCGGGAAACCGGAGCUAAUACCGGAUAAUAUAUUGAACCGCAUGGUUCAAUAGUGAAAGACGGUUUUGCUGUCACUUAUAGAUGGAUCCGCGCCGCAUUAGCUAGUUGGUAAGGUAACGGCUUACCAAGGCGACGAUGCGUAGCCGACCUGAGAGGGGGAGCGGCCACACUGGAACUGACACAGGUUGCAGACUACAACGGGAGGCGGCACGAGGGAAUGUUCAUCAAGGGGCGAAAUACUGACGAAGCAGUGCUUAGGAAGUAAUUAAGGUAUUAGUAUCGUAAAACUAUGUUAGUAGGGAAGAACAAAUGUGUAAGGAACCAGGCACGUCGGCACGGGACCUAAUCAGAAAGCCACGGCUAACUACGUG